rnacentral:misc_RNA from 1 species
GGAAAAUAUUUUUUUAGAACUGUUGCAACCCCGGAGUCCGUGAAGAAUAUUCUUUGCCAGUGUUACCAUGACACCUCCCAAGUUACAGAUGAACUAGUGCAAAUUAUCCUGAAUCCCGGAUUACAGCCGGGUGCUGCCGAUAUCUUUCUGGAGUUUAUUUGUUACUCAGGCGGGCCCCUUCCUGAAGAGCUUUUGCCUAGGGUGAAGUGUCC